rnacentral:lncRNA from 1 species
GUAACAAUCCCCUUUCCUCAUUAAUGGUCUGUCAUUGAAUAUAGAGCAGAUCUGCAGCGGAAGUGUGUGAACAUCAACAGCUAAAAAAAUUAGAAAGAUAACACAAGAUGCAUAUAGAUUCUGCUUCUCACUCGUAAAAGCCAAGAAUUCUGAUUUCAUUCCCAUAAUUUGCAUGAGAUCUUUCAAAAUCAAAUGCCAUUUUUCACUGCAAAAUUUUUGAAACAAGAACAAAGUGCAACCGGUAAAAAUGAAAGAAAGAGCCCGGUAAAUGAAAAUAUAUAUAUACAUCACAAGUAACAUAACAAGUACAUUGUAUACCUUUCUCACGUGAAAAAUGAGCCAAUCUUUGUGGUUUUAGAAAAUGAAGCCACUGCACAUAAACACCAA